rnacentral:rRNA from 1 species
UACGUAGGCAGCGAGCGUUGUUCGGAGUUACUGGGCGUAAAGCGUGCGUAGGCGGUGUCUUAAGUUGGUUGUGAAAUCUCCCGGCUUAACCGGGAGGGUGCGGCGAAUACUGAGAUGCUGGAGUGCCGGAGAGGUAAGCGGAAUUCCGUGGUGUAGCGGUGAAAUGCGUAGAUAUCAGGAAGAACACCUGAGGCGAAGGCGGCUUGCUGGGCAUGAUCUGACGCUGAGGCGCGAAAGCGUGGGGAGCAAACAGG